rnacentral:tRNA from 1 species
CCUCCGAUAGCUCAGCUGGUAGAGCGGAGGACUGUAGGGUGUUUGAAGAUGGUCAUCCUUAGGUCGCUGGUUCGAAUCCGGCUCGGAGGA